AGAGUUUGAUCCUGGCUCAGAGCGAACGCUGGCGGCAGGCCUAACACAUGCAAGUCGAACGAACUCUUCGGAGUUAGUGGCGGACGGGUGAGUAACACGUGGGAACGUGCCUUUAGGUUCGGAAUAACUCAGGGAAACUUGUGCUAAUACCGAAUGUGCCCUUCGGGGGAAAGAUUUAUCGCCUUUAGAGCGGCCCGCGUCUGAUUAGCUUGUUGGUGGGGUAAUGGCCCACCAAGGCUACGAUCAGUAGCUGGUCUGAGAGGAUGACCAGCCACAUUGGGACUGAGACACGGCCCGAACUCCUACGGGAGGCAGCAGUGGGGAAUCUUGCGCAAUGGGCGAAAGCCUGACGCAGCCAUGCCGCGUGUAUGAUGAAGGUCUUAGGAUUGUAAAAUACUUUCACCGGUGAAGAUAAUGACUGUAGCCGAGA
rnacentral:rRNA from 1 species